rnacentral:rRNA from 1 species
UACGUAGGUGGCAAGCGUUGUCCGGAAUUACUGGGCGUAAAGGGCGUGUAGGCGGCCUUUUAAGUCAGACGUGAAAUCCAUGGGCUUAACCCAUGAAUUGCGUUUGAAACUGGAGGGCUUGAGGAUCGGAGAGGGCAGUGGAAUUCCCAGUGUAGCGGUGAAAUGACGUAGAUAUUGGGAGGAACACCAGUGGCGAAGGCGACUGCCUGGACGACACCUGACGCUGAGGCGCGAAAGCUAGGGGAGCAAAGCGGG